ensembl:lncRNA
CCCCCCAGACCAACUUGUGCUUCAGAGCAGCCCCACACAGCCCUGUGCAGUGUGGAGCACUGAGAGGCAGCCUGCCCUCAGCCCAAGUGCCCAUGCACAGUGUGCAUCACACAGCACGGAAAGAAACCUGCAGUGCUCUGCUUCCCAACCCCUCAUUUAACUGCAAGCCAAAACAGCCCCCAGUGCUGCAAAUGGCUCCUCAUCCUGCUGAGCCCAUCCACCUCCCACAGCCUGAGCACGGCUGACUGCAGAGGUUUUCCUAGAACCACAGAACAGCAAGCAGGAGGGAGAGAGGCCUGCAGCCAGGCAGCAGUCUGGGCUGCAUUUCGGAGCUGACUCAUGGGGAAGGGCAGCAGCCAUCAGCUAUUGGGCUGGAUUUUAACUUGUGCCCAGAUUGGAUGACUAAGGAACUUAGGUACCUAUACAGAUCAGCAGCUUGCACACCCUUUGCAGUGAGCCCUCAGCAUCUGCAUUAACAGACCUCAUCCGUGUUCCACAAAAUACACCCCAAAUAUGUCCUCCUCACAAAUGGAAUACAAUGCUGUAAUCCAACUACAAAUAUUAAAUCCCACAACUGACCCACAUUAAAAAUAAAUCCCUCCAAUUAAGGGGGUUUAACCGAUGAAAUUUUAUAUACGUUGCAGGGAAAACAGAGCAUCUUUCACACAGCAGAUCAGUAUUGACGGCUAAAAGGGGCCCGGAGCAGCGCCGGGGUCUCCACGCAGCAUCAGCACUUUGCCCCCUCCGUUCCACCUCUGCGUGCAGGCGGUGCUCAGCAGCUCACGGCCGCCCCGCAGCCGCAGGAUUCACGCCACAAUGGGGAUGAAACAGCAUUCGUAAUGCUUUUUUUUUUUUUUUUUUUGGGGGGGGGGGGGGGGGCAUCGAAACAGCUGCAAGGUCCUAUUUCAUCCCCAAACGCUGCGUCCUGCUUUGCCGAGCGUCGUUUACCGCACUCGACCUGCAUUACAGGAGAACGCCAAGCGAGCUCCUCUCCUCCUCGCCGACCUCCUUUUAGCACCGAGAUGACGCUACGGGAUGCGAUAACGAAACGCUCCCUCCGCUCAGCGCCGGCUGUGCCUCGUUACGCAGCCGUGAGCCCACGCGCCCCCCACCUUCAUCCCCACCUCCCCCCUCAGCCUCCGGACACCCAACAGCCGAGGCUCUCCGCAAUGGCCCGCGGAGCUCACACCGUGAUGCCGGCAUCGCUCCGCUUCGGAGCUUUGUUCUGCGACCAUCAUUGAGGACAAUGUAUUCCCGGGGCUGAACGAGCGACGGGAUUUGGUUUUUUCCCGACCACAGCGAGCAGAGUUUGCGGCUCAUUUCCGAACGCCGUACAGCCGGUACAACCUUUGUGGAGCAGUUUGAGUUCUACAUACUAAAAGGUGUCAGUGCAGCAAGGAUUGCGCUCAUGCAUCAGAAGAGGAAUGGGGAUCAAAAGCUUGAACGUCGUUUAGCAGGGAUCUCUCACCUGCUUCCAAGAAAGGCUGCUUUUUUGAAAAUGUACCGGCCUACAACAUGUGCCUUCUUAAUUUUGAACUCUCAGCAAUGAAGACCAAGAAAACUGAAUCAUCAAAUCAUUGAACCAUGGAAUCAUUCACGUUGGAAAAGACCUCUGAGAUCAUCCAGUCCAACCAUCAACCCACCCCCACCGUGCCCACUGCCCAUGUCCCAUGGUGCCACAUCCCCACAGCUCUGGGACACCUCCAGGACAGUGGCCCCACCACUCCCUGGGCAGCUGUGCCACUGCCUCACCGCUCUUUGGGAGAAGGAAUUGUUCCUAACAGCCAACCUGAAUCUGCCCUGGCACAACGUCAGGCCAUUCGCUCUCAUCCUAUUGAAGGAGUUUAAGCACAAUUCCUUCAGUCUUUGUCUGCCUGGUAUGGGACUGCUCCAAUCACAAAGAACUUCUAGUGGUGUGAGAUUCAGAAGGAAUCUGGCAAAAAAAGGCAGAGACAGCCAAAACCAGAUUUUAGUGACUACAAGCAUGGACUGUGGUUUCUUCAGAACUCCACUCUCAGCCAUCCUCUCCUAACAUACAACUUACAAACUGCACACAAAACAUGCCUAAGUAUCACAGAAGCCCAAAGUCUUGUCAGCAGUGUUGUCAACAUUUUGCCUGUGUGCAGGCAAAUAGAAUCCACAGUUCCUCCAUCACUUUCAAAAUGGGAGUUGAUAAGCUAUAUUUGCUAACUGGAAAGGUGAAUCUAUUGCUGAAUGCAGUUUCCUUAGCCCUCUAUUGAUGCCUUUCCACAAUUCACUAGCAAUGUUCAUCAGAACAAGGCAAGCAUGAAACUGCAGCUUGGAAAAUUCUGGCAUAGAAGAGAAAUGUAUGCUUAUCUAUUUAUAAAUAAAGUCUGAAGCUAGCUUUACUGAUCAUCCUAUAAAUAGUUACUUGCCAAAAUCCAAAGUAAUGAAUCUGCUAAUUCACCCAAAGAAGUGAACCCGAUACCUCAUGCAUUCUUGCUCCUUAUCCAAAGCAGCACUUUCCUGCAAAGUAUUGCUUCUGCCUUAUCAAUGCAGUGUUUCUUAAAUGCUUUUUGAAACUUAUGUGCUUGGAUGCAAGGCCCAAAUACUGUUUUUGAAUGAGGGAAAAAAAAACUAAAGUUUGCAGUAAGGAUGCGAAGCUAAGUCUUCUUUCCCCAAGGCUGUACCUGGCAAUACUAACUUAACCAC